GGAGAGACUGUGGCUCAGUGGAAGAGCAUCUGACUGGAAUGCAGAAGGUCCCAGGUUCAAUCCCUGGCAUCUCCA